UACAGGGGUCUCGAGCGUUAAUCGGAAUCACUGGGCUUAAAAGGGGAGCGUAGGCUGGCCAGCAAGUGCUUUGUGAAAUCCCCGGCUCAACCGGGGAAACUGCGGGCAUACUGCUGGUCUUGAGGCAUGUAGGGCGGGCAGAACAGUAGGUGGAGCGGUGAAAUGCGUAGAUAUCUACUGGAAUGCCGAUGGUGAAGACGGCCGCUGGCAUGUCCUGACGCUCAGGCUCGAAGCGUGGAGCAACAG
rnacentral:rRNA from 1 species